rnacentral:misc_RNA from 1 species
AAAGUCGCGCUUGUAGAAUUCAUUAUUCAACGGUAAAAAUAAAGAUCCUGUUCUAACAAGCAACCGUUUUACCACAUAAACCAUUUCGUUUUCAACUUAGAACGAAAUGAAUAACUUAGCCAAUACUCACGAAUUCAAAAAGUUAAAACGCAACAUCGCUUCAUCAUUUCUGAAACCGGACUACUCUAAGGCGGAAAAUAAAAAGUCUCUGGCAAACAAAGAAAAUGCGAAGUCCUUCUUGGAUUGCUCCAGGAGAACUGUUCUACAUGACAGAACCACGAAGGGUCAACUACACAAACCACCCAGGGACAGAUCUAAAUGGCAUAACAAUUUGCCAUCUCUCAAUAAACAUGACAUUUCGAUGUCUACACUCGUUGCCUUGGACCAGUGUCAAUCACGUAAAGUCCGAUCCCAGCUAUAUGAUCAAAGGAAUUUACAAUCGUGCUCUGUGAUUCUAGAAAAACUCGAUAUUUCUAAAAUGCUGCCGAAGAUUCAAGAUGCCCGAAAUAUCGAGAGAAGUAACCCUUCACAACUCAACUGUAGCUUUGUUGUAAACAACUUGAACCCAUCUGUAUUGGAUUCAUUUAGUGUUUAUCCGUUGCAGCCAAAGAUCCACUAUAGGCAACAUCCAAUACCUCCGCUCAAUUUAGAAAGGAGCCAAUCAGGGUUUUUGAGACCAGUCAAUCCAACGUUAGAAGAUGUUAAAUUAGCUCUGAUGAAUGAAAAGAAAGAGGAGCUCAUCUCAACUAUAAAUUAUUUCAAAUCGUCUCCAAAUAUCGAUUAUGUCAGGAAAUUGUACUUCUUUGAAAAACUUGAAGCGACUUUAGAUAGAAUCUUGCAAACACAUGUAAUGCAAACUCAAUCAUGUCAACAAAAUGAAUGGCAAAUGGAUCCGAACAAAUUUCAGCGAAUACAAACUUGGAUGGACAAAACACAAAGAGAAACAGAGCAGUCGUACAUAGAACAAUCGAUGCCACCUUCUCCUCCAACUCAGGCUAUUCAUACCAUUCCACAAGAGACGUGUAAUCAAUCUUUCCAGGACAUGGCAACAGAAAAAUCACUGUCGCCUAUACGGCAGCAGGCAGUCGUACAGAAACAGGGCAGCUACUGUCUAGGAGACUGGACCGUUAUUAAAGGAGAUGUGCCAUAUGAUUUAAAAGUCACUGGCACUCUUAUUCAUGCAAUAUUCAGAAACACAAUUGAAGAGAAUCACGUUUCACAUAAUGUAAUAGAGGUUCCUAAUAAAAAUGUAAUCAAAACAAAUGUCUGCACUUACAUGCUCAUUGGUAAAUUCGUUGAUCCGACAAAUUCAAUCCCUCAAAAAAUAAAGAAGUACUUUAUGCAUGGGGGUUUUCCCGAGAAUUGGAAAUCUGUAGCAAGAAAUUGGCAUUCUCUGAGUAGAAACAAUAAACAAAACGAAAUGCUUAAACAAAAUCAACUGCCCGCACAAUGCCCAAAUCUCAGUAACACAAGAUCCAAGAUGAGUCAAGGUCUUGACUUGAUGUUGAGGUCUUUUGACAGCCAAGACGGUUUGGAGAAGAACAGGAGAGCAAUAUAUCCCCGGAAUAUUUUCACUUGGGAAAAGCUAUUUUCAUAAAAAACAAAGUGAAAAUUGCAACAUCCUCAAUACUCCUAGAAACUCAGGAAUUAGGAAUAGCCUUAAUAGUUCAAUAGUAACAAGAUCGAUAU